GACGAACGCUGGCGGCGUGCUUAACACAUGCAAGUCGAACGGUGAAGCGCCUUCCUUUUUGGUGGGUGUGGAUGAGUGGCGAACGGGUGAGUAACACGUGAGUAACCUGCCCCCUUCUUCUGGAUAACCGCAUGAAAGUGUGGCUAAUACGGGAUAUUCUGGGUCUGUCGCAUGAUGGGUCUGGGAAAGAUAUUGUUUCGGUGGGGGAUGGGCUCGCGGCCUAUCAGCUUGUUGGUGGGGUGAUGGCCUACCAAGGCGGUGACGGGUAGCCGGCCUGAGAGGGUGGACGGUCACACUGGGACUGAGACACGGCCCAGACUCCUACGGGAGGCAGCAGUGGGGAAUAUUGCACAAUGGGCGCAAGCCUGAUGCAGCGACGCCGCGUGAGGGAUGGAGGCCUUCGGGUUGUGAACCUCUUUCGCCAGUGAAGCAGGCCUGCCUCGUUUGUGGGUGGGUUGACGGUAGCUGGAGAAGAAGCGCCGGCCAACUACGUG
rnacentral:rRNA from 1 species